UGAACGCUAGCGGCAGGCUUAACACAUGCAAGUCGAGGGGUAGAGUCAGCUUGCUGACUUGAGACCGGCGCACGGGUGCGUAACGCGUAUGCAAUCUGCCUUUUACAGAGGGAUAGCCCAGAGAAAUUUGGAUUAAUACCUUAUAGCAUUAUAGGAUGGCAUCAUCUUAUGAUUAAAGAUUUAUCGGUAAAAGAUGAGCAUGCGUCCCAUUAGCUAGUUGGUAAGGUAACGGCUUACCAAGGCUAUGAUGGGUAGGGGUCCUGAGAGGGAGAUCCCCCCACACUGGUACUGAGACACGGACCAGACUCCUACGGGAGGCAGCAGUGAGGAAUAUUGGACAAUGGGCGCAAGCCUGAUCCAGCCAUGCCGCGUGCAGGAUGAAGCAUCUAUGGUGUGUAAACUGCUUUUAUACGGGAAGAAACCCUGGGACGUGUCCCAGACUGACGGUACCGUAGGAAUAAGGAUCGGCUA
rnacentral:rRNA from 1 species